rnacentral:rRNA from 1 species
GACGAACGCUGGCGGCGUGCUUAACACAUGCAAGUCGAACGGUGAAGCGCCUUCCUUUUUGGUGGGUGUGGAUGAGUGGCGAACGGGUGAGUAACACGUUAGUAACCUGCCCCCUUCUUCUGGAUAACCGCAUGAAAGUGUGGCUAAUACGGGAUAUUCUGGGUCUGUCGCAUGAUGGGUCUGGGACAGAUAUUGUUUCGGUGGGGGAUGGGCUCGCGGCCUAUCAGCUUGUUGGUGGGGUGAUGGCCUACCAAGGCGGUGACGGGUAGCCGGCCUGAGCGGGAGAGCGGCCACAUGGGGACUGAUACACGGCCCAGAAGUCUAGGGGAUUGAACAGUGGGGGAGAGCGUGAUGGGGGGGCGCGCCGGGAGCGGUGAAGCCGUUCGCGGUGUGAACGUCUUUGGCUAGUGAAGCAGGUCUGCCUGGUAUGUGGGGGGGUUGACGGUAGUUGGAAAAGAAGCGCCGGCUAACUACGUG